UACGGAGGGUGCAAGCGUUAUCCGGAUUUACUGGGUUUAAAGGGUGCGUAGGUGGGUUGGUAAGUCAGUGGUGAAAUACUUUCGCUUAACGAAGGAACUGCCAUUGAUACUACCAGUCUUGAAUACAGUAGAGGUAGGCGGAAUGCGUCAUGUAGCGGUGAAAUGCUUAGAUAUGACGCAGAACACCAAUUGCGAAGGCAGCUUGCUAGACUGUUAUUGACACUGAGGCACGAAAGCGUGGGGAUCAAACAGG
rnacentral:rRNA from 1 species